GACGAACGCUGGCGGCGUGCUUAACACAUGCAAGUCGAACGGAAAGGCUCCAGCUUGCUGGAGUACUCGAGUGGCGAACGGGUGAGUAACACGUGGGUAAUCUGCCCUGCACUCUGGGAUAAGCCUGGGAAACUGGGUCUAAUACUGGAUAUGACCUUUCUCCUUAUGGGGUUUGGUGGAAAGUUCUUCGGUGUAGGAUGAGCCCGCGGCCUAUCAGCUUGUUGGUGGGGUGAUGGCCUACCAAGGCGACGACGGGUAGCCGGCCUGGGAGGGUGAUCGGGCACAUUGGGACUGAGAUACGGCCCAGACUCCUACGGGAGGCAGCAGUGGGGAAUAUUGCACAAUGGGCGGAAGCCUGAUGCAGCGACGCCGCGUGAGGGAUGACGGCCUUCGGGUUGUAAACCUCUUUCAGCAGAGACGAAGCGUAAGUGACGGUACCUGCAGAAGAAGCACCGGCUAACUAUGUG
rnacentral:rRNA from 1 species